CAUCUGAGGAUCUGGCUCAGACCCUUUAAUUCAGAGUGCUACUUGUUUCCUGAUGACACUUAGCUUGGAGCUGGGCAAGGCAAAGCUGGUAGACUGGAAGAUUGCCUAAUGUGCUGUGACUGACAUGUAAUCGAAUAUUUAACCACUGGUCUACAUGUCUGCGGUGAAAUGGGCCUGAAUCAGUAUCUAAGAUUUGAACUUCUUAGCUUCAUAAUGAAUUUAAGAAAAAGCCUGGUUUUGA